GAGUGUUCCGUGUCGGAGCCUGGGUAACCGCUGUGAUCGAUGCGUAACUACGUGUUUUAAAAAUGUGUUAAUUCGCUGAUUCAAUUGGAUCACGCGUAAUCGUUACUCGCAAUCGAGGGCAAAAUAUGUCGAGCCGGCAAACGAAAAAGGAAAAGGAUACGUCUAAGAUCAGUAAGGACAAGGGGAAAAACGGCAAGGAUGGCGAGUCAGGUGACGAGGCCAAUAAGGUAGCAGGAGGACCACCUAUGACGAGUGCACCACCACCGCCGACGUUGAUAAACAAGAUCAAGUAUCAACCAGGCGGUCCUGUAAUAAAAAAGGACAAGCGACAAAGUAGUUCCAGAUUCAAUAUCACGAAAAAUCGAGAACUUCAAAAAUUGCCGCUUCUCUCUGAGACGCAACAAGGAAACGAACGGGAGGAACUUUUUAUACAGAAACUACGACAAUGUUGCGUUCUCUUUGAUUUCGAAUCUGAUCCGCUAUCGGAUUUAAAAUGGAAGGAAGUGAAACGUACCGCUCUGCACGAGAUGGUCGAAUACGUUACCACGAACAAAAAUGUUAUCACAGAGGCUAUAUACCCCGAGGCGGUGAACAUGUUCGCAAUGAACCUCUUCCGCACGCUUCCUCCGUCAUCGAAUCCAAACGGUGCCGAGUUCGACCCGGAAGAGGAUGAACCGACUCUGGAAGCAGCCUGGCCGCACUUACAGUUGGUUUACGAGUUUUUCCUCCGGCUAUUAGAGUCUCAAGACUUCCAACCCUCCAUUGCGAGACGCUACAUCGAUCAGAAGUUUGUCUUACAGCUUUUGGAGCUAUUCGAUUCGGAAGAUCCACGGGAAAGGGAUUUCCUUAAAACUACGCUUCAUAGGAUUUAUGGAAAGUUUUUAGGGCUUAGGGCAUACAUCAGGAAGCAAAUAAACAAUGUUUUUUACCGAUUUAUAUACGAAACUGAACACCACAAUGGCAUCGCCGAACUCUUAGAGAUCUUGGGAAGUAUAAUCAACGGUUUCGCCUUGCCACUAAAGGAGGAACAUAAAAUUUUUCUAUUAAAGGUGCUUUUACCUCUACACAAAGCCAAAUCACUGUCCGUCUAUCAUCCGCAGUUAGCGUAUUGUGUUGUUCAAUUUCUGGAAAAAGAUCCGUCGCUAACCGAGCCUGUUAUUCGGAGCUUGCUGAAAUUUUGGCCGAAAACACAUUCCCCGAAAGAAGUGAUGUUCUUGAACGAGCUAGAGGAGAUUUUGGAUGUGAUCGAGCCUGCCGAAUUUCAGAAAGUCAUGGACCCACUGUUCAGGCAGUUAGCGAAAUGCGUUUCAUCUCCACAUUUUCAGGUGGCUGAAAGGGCCCUCUAUUAUUGGAACAACGAAUAUAUAAUGUCCUUAAUAUCGGACAACUAUUUGGUCAUUUUACCUAUUAUGUAUCCAGCAUUCUACAGAAAUUCCCGCAAUCACUGGAACAAAACCAUUCAUGGCUUGAUUUACAAUGCAUUGAAGCUCUUUAUGGAGAUGAACCAAAAAGUGUUCGACGAAUGUACUCAACAGUAUUAUCAAGAUCGUCAGAGGGAAAAAAGGCUCAUGAAAGAUAGAGAUGAAGCGUGGAUGCGCGUGGAAACCUUAGCUAUGAGACAUCCAAAUUAUAAUGUGUCCGGUAAAGGUUUAACAAAUACUAUCGCCAACACUACGAUAUCACAACAACAAUUGGAUAGCCCACCACCGGACGAAGAUGGCGAUACGGAUCAAACGCCGCUCACUUUGGAAAAGAUAGAAGCUAAGGCAAACGAGGCAAAGAAGAUGACAAACACCAAUAAAACUAAGCCACUUCUGCGAAGGAAGAGCGACUUACCCCAGGACACGUAUACAAUGCGGGCAUUGUCCGAUCAUAAACGCGCCGACGAGUACCUUGUCACACCACCGGAUCCCAACAAUUGCUAGUCUCUACCGCAAUCUCUUCCCAAGUAUCCUCUCUUCUGCUGCAGUGAUAUUGGGAGUUAGCUUUUUUGGAGGGGAAACGAACAUGGCGAUGAAUCCAAUCGAAUUCGACCAUGCCUGUGGAACGCAUUCGCAAGAAUCGCCUCUGCCAGAGGCCUAUAAUUAAGAAUCGUUACUGAAGAAAAUAAAAAGGGAAAGCAUCGAGUUGUAAACGUGACGUUACCAAACGGUACAAUCGACAUCACGAAUUUUUUCUGAGGACACUUGCAUAAACCGUUACGUCGUUGCCUCGUCAGUUUAGCGGUUAAUCGAGGAACCAGAAGAAAGAAGUUAUUUCGUCGCUGAUAUAAAACGAAAACAGUAAAAGAAGAAGAAACGUGGAAAUUAGCGAUGCGAUUAAAAUUGAAAAAAAAAAAAGGCGAAUUUAAUUAAAAAAAAAAUAUCUUUAAUCUUUUACGCUGCUGGCAGGCUGUUAUGUUAAACAUUGUG